rnacentral:rRNA from 1 species
UACGUAGGCUGCAAGCGUUGUCCGGAUUUUUUGGGUUUAAAGGGCGCGUAGGCGGUUUAUUAAGUUAGUGGUGAAAACGUUCGGCUUAACCGGAUACCCGCCAUUGAUACUGAUAGAAUUGAGUGUGACAGAGGGUGUUGGAAUGUGUGGUGUAGCGGUGAAAUGCUUAGAUAUCACGCAGAACACCAAUUGCGAAGGCAGAUGCCUAUGUCGUAACUGACGCUGAGGCACGAAAGCGUGGGGAGCAAACGGG